GAUCUAGUAUGGCCUAGUGGUUUGAGUGUUGGACUAUGACUCUGUAGACCAGGGUUUGAUUCCCAGCUUGGCCA
rnacentral:tRNA from 1 species